GUCUAUCUCAGGAGAUUGGACAUAGUUCCCUGGGUUAUUCAAUAGGACCUUGCUGUUUAUCCAUUCUAAAUGUAAUAGUUUGAAUCUACUAACCCCAAACUCCCUGGUCAUCCUACUCCCUCCCACUUGGCAACCACAUCUGUUCUCUAUGUCUUUAUGUUUAUGUUUUAUAAAUAGGUUCAUCUGUGCCAUAUUUUAGAUUCCAUAUACAAAAUUAUAAGAGCAGAAUAAGGAGUUAGAUUUUAAAUGGCCUAGAAAAAACCUUAUAAAUGAUAAAAUUACUAUUUUCUAAUCUAUAUUCAUUAUACACACAAGACCAAUAUAAAUAAGUCAUCUAUAAACUUGCUAGAAAAUGUUUACUACAUAAAAUAAAUAAAUAAGCUUCAGUUUAAAAUUUUAAAAAUGUUUUCUAAAAUAUUAAUGUUUCCAUAAGAUAAAUUUUGCUCUAGCUGUGGCAGGUAAAAGGCAAAUAGUUUAUUCCAAAGGAAAAGGAAUUCAGGCUUUUUUAACAAAGUACCAACAUUAAAGUAAAGUGUUCCUGUUAGCAUUCAUAAGAUCAAUUUUCCUUAAAUGUAUAUUUGAAUAUUUGUUUUUUUCAUGUAGACUUCUGAUUUAAUUAAUGUCUUUGUUUUGGAAAUGUAACAAUUCCUGCUAAAGUCAGGGAACCAAAUAUUCUAAAAUAAAUGUUUUAUAUAUACAUGUAUCUAUUUUUUUCCCCUGAAAGCAGACAAUUAUAGUAAAAAGAUCUUUAAAAAUGGCCUUUAUCUUCUCUCUGGAUAAACCAUACUAGUUUCCAAAAAUGAAAAUAUUUGUGUUAGUGCAUGAAGUAAGAGAACAGAACAGAGGAAGACAUAUGAAUUAUAAAAUCUUAUGCCUCUACGAUUGUUCCUUUCAAAUGUAAACCUAAUUAAGCAUGCUUGUGUUUCCCAAAUGAUAAGUAUAGGCCCUCAUAUUUUUAUGUCUGUGUAUGAACACAUGCUUAUGUUUUUCUAUAUGUAAAUUCUACUCUUACUUAUAAAAACUAUAAUCAUAAACAAUUUCAAGGUCCUUGCUUUUCUAAUAUAAGAAAAUACUAGAUAAAAUUUUAGGUCAGAGUAUAUCAUUUUAAUUAAAAAUCUGCCAAUGGGAGAAAAUCUGUGCAAAUCCAGUAACUGACGAGGGAUUAAUCUCCAAAAUACACAAAUAUCUCACACAGCUUUACCAAAAAAAACAAAUAACCUAGUUAAAAAAAUGGUCAGAAGAUCUAAACAGACAUUUCACCAAAGAAGACAGACAGAUGGCCAGAAAUCACAUGAAAAGAUAUUCAACAUCACUAAUUAUUAGAGAAAUGGAAAUCAAAACUACAGUGAAGUAUCACAACACACUUCACAAUGGCCAUCAUCAAAAGGUCUACAGGAGUUCCCGUCGUGGCUCAGUGCUUAACGAAUCCGUCUAGGAACCAUGAGGUUGAGGGUUCAGUCCCUGCCCUUGCUCAGUGGGUUGACCAUCCGGCGUUGCUGUGAGCUGUGGUGUAGGUUGCAGACGCGGCUCGGAUCCCACGUUGCUGUGGCUCUGGCGUAGGCUGGUGGCUACAGCUCCGAUUUGAUCCCUAGCCUGGAAACCUCCAUAUGCCACGGGAGUGGCCCAAGAAAUAGCAAAAAAAAAAAAAAAAAAAAAAAAAAAGUCUACAAACAAUAAAGGCUGGAGAGGGUGUGGAGAAAGGGAAAACUUACACUAUCGGUGGGAAUAUAAGCUGGUACAAUCACUAUGGAGAAUAGUAUGUAGGCUCCUUAAAAAACUAAGUAUAGAAUUACCAUACGACCCAGUAAUCUCACUCCUGGGCAUAUACCCAGAGAAUACAAACCGGUAUUCCACACUCCUAUGUUCAUCGCAGCAUUACUUACAAUAGCCAAGGCUAGGAAGCAACCUAAAUGUCCAUAAACAGAGGGUUGGAGGGAGUGCCACUGUGGUGCAAUGGGUUAAUGAUCCAGUUUGUCUCUGUUGAGGUGCUGGUUUGAUCCCCAGCCUGGCACAGUAGGUUAAGGAUCCAGUGCUGCUGCAGCUGUGACAGAGGUUGCAGCUCCAGCUUGAUCCCAUCCUUGGCCUGGGAAUUCCAUAUGCCGCAGGUGCAGUAAAAAAAAAAAAAAAGUAUUGGAUAAAGAAGAUGUGGUACAUAUGUAUAAUGGAAUACUAUUUAACCAUAAAAAUCAUGAGAUAAUGUCAUUUGCAGCAACAUGGGUGGACCUAGAAAUGAUCAUACCAAGUGAAAUAUGUCAAAGACAAGAAUCAUAUGAGAUCACUAAUAUAUGGAAGCUAAUAAAAAUGAUACAAAGAACUUAUGAACCAGAGACACAGUCAAAGAUUUUGAAACCAUAUUUAUGGUUACCAAAGGAGAAAUGGGGGUGGGGGAUAAAUUAUGGGGUUAGAAUUGACAUAUACAUACUACUAUAUAUAAAAUAGAUAGGUAACAAGUACCUACUGCCUACUAUAUAGCACCAGGAUUUCUACUCAUUAUUUUUAAUAACCUAUAAGGGAAAAGAAUCUGAAAAGGAAUGGAUAUAUGUAUAUGUAUAACUGAUCUACUUUGCUGGACACCUAUAACUAACACAAAUUUGUAAGUCAACUAUAUUCCAAUAAAAUUUAUUAAAAUAAAUCUGCCAAUGAAUGGAUGCACAAUGAUCAAUCUGGUCACUAGAAAUGUCCAAAUACAUUAUUUUCAUUUUAGAGUCAUAACCCACAGUGCAGUGAGGCAGAAGAAACCUGAGCUACCAGCUAUCUUUUGAAACUUUCAAUUAAGUUUUGAUUUGUGUCCAGGUGUCCUAUAUUUUAGUGUUGUCCAUGUCCACUGCAAUUUCAAGACAACUACAUAUUGGUAGCAAUGUAUAAUUACAGUUUAAAUAAAAUCUCCUGGGAGAUGGUCUGCUGAGCUUGGGGUAGGAGGUAUUGGAAUCUACUAACAAAAUCUAAAAACUAAGAUACAACAAAAUGUCUUAUGAAUGUUUCAGUGGCAUACAAAGGGUAUACUCCAGGUAAAAUCUGUAGAGAAAAGAGGUUUUCUUAAUUAAAUAGCUUUCUUAAUUAAAGUUAAACCAUAAAAUUCCUUUUAGCAAGGAAAAUGCAAAUUUUUCUUUGAAUAUUUUCAAAGAAAAUGCAGGUAAAAUGAAUAUCUUAGAAGUAAAUGAAUCUGAAUCCUAAAAUACCAUAGAAAAAAAGGCUCAAGCUGUGAUAUUUUUAGAGUUAAUGUUAAGCUAAAUUGUGUCCUUUUAGGAUACUUAUUAACUGACAUCAUAAAAAGAAACAAGGGUCACAUCCCUCUUUUAAUGUUUAUAAUAUAGUUUCUACCACUUACUUUGCACCUGACAUUGUGUCUCAUAUUAAUUUAUUUAGGAUGUGAUCAUUUGACUGUCUGGGGUUUGUAUUAUUACAUAUUAUUAGAGUAAAAAUGAUCACUUAUUUUUAACUCAGAAAACCAGGAACAAAGUUAUCUUUAAAGGUAGAAUAAAGUAAAUGACAACAUAGCUGGAAAGGAAUGGAAGUGUAUUGGUAGUAAAGUGUACUUUUGCUUUUCCUUUCUCCUUCUCUUAUACUUCAUAGAAUAAAGGAUAUAAAAUAUGCAGUGAAAGAUACAUCAACAUUGAUACAAAAGAAACAAAGCACUUAACAAGAGUAAUAAGAAUAUAACUUUGUAUGGUGGGAAAUUUGAAGCUAGAAAUGUGACAGAUGCUUCCAGAUAAGAGAACAAUUUUUCAUAAUUCCAAUGGCCUUAAACAAUGCAUUUCUUCAUUAAGAAAUGCAUGCUUUUCCUUGAAGGAGUCUUGGUUUCUAAGAAUAAUCUUAAAUGUAUACAUGAAAAAAAAAAUAUUGAUUUUUCCCACUCCUUCUCAUUCUCUUCCCAUUUAAUUUUUGACUUGACCCAUUUAAUUUUUCUCCAUUCUCUAGUCACUCAGAAAGAGUUCUUCCAU
rnacentral:lncRNA from 1 species